AAACGAGGGAAGCAGUAUGUCCUCACCUCCACCACCACUGCCAAGGCACUGCCAAAGUUGUCCUGGACCUAGUGCACGGAGGGGUGCUUCGCUGGGACUUGGCGGGCCUUCCAGGACUGACCAGGAGACACAAGGUGCCUAGAGACCAGGGGACACACCAGCAGGCAGAUCCUUGCCACGAGGGUCCCUCCUGAGUGCCACCAAGGGCUCUGACCCAAGAGUAGACCUGCCUGGGGGUGGGGGGCAGGGUGUGCAGAGAGAAGGCAAGAGGGGAGGAGGCGGGGCCACACGCCCCGACGACACCCCGAGCAGGUCCUGUCCUGGGCACAUUCAUGGGACGGGACAGGACAGGACAGGACAGGACAGGGAAGGGAUGAGGGUACUCUCCGAUGGCCAUUAAGGGAUGGUUGGGAGAGAGUGCCCCCUUGCUCCUGCGAUCCAUGCGGGUCAUUGGCACUUCCACAGGAAAGGAGAAGGAAAAGGAAAAGUACUGGCCAGGGGGCUGCUCCCAGGCGCCUGCCCAAUCCUGCCUUCUAGACAGAGGCACACCCGCGCCAGAAGGCCUGAAAGUCAGGAAGCGCGUGCCAAAAGGAAGCAGGGCACGCCUGCAGGAAGCUCCUACUGGCUCAAGUCUGGACUUUAAGUGCUUCCAUAAGGAUAACAACUGCCAGGAAUGGAACUUCAAGAGGUUAUUUUGGCAAGUCUUGAGUUCCCGAUGCUCUUUCAUUGCAAAGCAACUCCUGGACCACGGCUGGUUUUGUUUGUGGUCGGUUUCCUGGUGGUUUCGGAGGCUGAGGAUGAUCUCCACCCCUGGGGAAUUCAGGGGAAGCGUGGACCCUGAACCUCGGUACUCUGUCCCGCUACCCUUGGACGUGCCCCUUCACCAAAGGGCAGCCAUGGCACGAGGACCCUUAGGACACCAGGGACACAGCUAAGAACUGGAAGCGAAAGGAAACGAGGGAAGCAGUAUGUCCUCACCUCCACCACCACUGCCAAGGCACUGCCAAAGUUGUCCUGGACCUAGUGCACGGAGGGGUGCUUCGCUGGGACUUGGCGGGCCUUCCAGGACUGACCAGGAGACACAAGGUGCCUAGAGACCAGGGGACACACCAGCAGGCAGAUCCUUGCCACGAGGGUCCCUCCUGAGUGCCACCAAGGGCUCUGACCCAAGAGUAGACCUGCCUGGGGGUGGGGGGCAGGGUGUGCAGAGAGAAGGCAAGAGGGGAGGAGGCGGGGCCACACGCCCCGACGACACCCCGAGCAGGUCCUGUCCUGGGCACAUUCAUGGGACGGGACAGGACAGGACAGGACAGGACAGGGAAGGGAUGAGGGUACUCUCCGAUGGCCAUUAAGGGAUGGUUGGGAGAGAGUGCCCCCUUGCUCCUGCGAUCCAUGCGGGUCAUUGGCACUUCCACAGGAAAGGAGAAGGAAAAGGAAAAGUACUGGCCAGGGGGCUGCUCCCAGGCGCCUGCCCAAUCCUGCCUUCUAGACAGAGGCACACCCGCGCCAGAAGGCCUGAAAGUCAGGAAGCGCGUGUAAGUAAGGGACGGAAAGCGCAGAGCGAAAAGAAAGCAAAGGUGGAACUGAGGUGGAGCUGAAGCCUGAAGGGCCUGGAGCCUCCUGCCCUUCCAGGGUGAAAGCAAAAGCAAAACAACGCAACUGACACAGACAGUCCGAGGAAGAAGCACAGAAAAGGAAAGGAACCAGCCACCUGGACCCAUGCCGCUCACCAAAUGCACUGGGCAGAAGGACUACUGACCAGGAGGCGGGACCCCCUGCAGGCCUUUCCCCUGCUUUGCUCCAGCCCCAUUUUUCCUAGCUCCAGCUCUGGGAGAGAAGCAAAAGGCCAAGGACACACCCACAGGCCCGGGUGACUCUCUCUGUCCCAGGGAUUAAAUCAGGGGACCUGCCUCGGACAAGGUGGCAGCCACCAUUCGGGUGGCCCAUCGCUCUGCUCUGUCUUGCCAGGGACUUUUUUGGCCGGGCUCUGCUUCCUACCAAGGCCUGGAGCUCACCACCUUGGGCUGGCCCCCCAACAAGGCAGCCAGAAACGGCUGGCCCAACCUGCAGCCACAGGGCUCCCACCCCCCACCCCCACCCCGCCCCGGAGGCUCCCCUGUAAAGGGCUACCCAAAGCCCGAGGUGACACAGGCUGGCCUUGCUCUCACACAGGAACCCUGCAAAGGCCACCAAACCUCGCCAAGGCACAAGGCCCCACCCAGGGCCAGGAUGCUGGAGAGGAAGGGCACAGACUCUGAUGAAUGGGACUCGGGACUCGGAGACCCCCGUUUCUUUCUCUGCCUAAACAAGGGAGGCCCCAAGUUUACACUGUAGCCGGGCGGACCUGCUGACAGACCACCAGCUCAGGAAACACACAAUGGCUCCCUGUCCCUUGCGCAGAGCCCUCCCGGGAAUGCCAAAAGGAAGCAGGGCACGCCUGCAGGAAGCUCCUACUGGCUCAAGUCUGGACUUUAAGUGCUUCCAUAAGGAUAACAACUGCCAGGAAUGGAACUUCAAGAGGUUAUUUUGGCAAGUCUUGAGUUCCCGAUGCUCUUUCAUUGCAAAGCAACUCCUGGACCACGGCUGGUUUUGUUUGUGGUCGGUUUCCUGGUGGUUUCGGAGGCUGAGGAUGAUCUCCACCCCUGGGGAAUUCAGGGGAAGCGUGGACCCUGAACCUCGGUACUCUGUCCCGCUACCCUUGGACGUGCCCCUUCACCAAAGGGCAGCCAUGGCACGAGGACCCUUAGGACACCAGGGACACAGCUAAGAACUGGAAGCGAAAGGAAACGAGGGAAGCAGUAUGUCCUCACCUCCACCACCACUGCCAAGGCACUGCCAAAGUUGUCCUGGACCUAGUGCACGGAGGGGUGCUUCGCUGGGACUUGGCGGGCCUUCCAGGACUGACCAGGAGACACAAGGUGCCUAGAGACCAGGGGACACACCAGCAGGCAGAUCCUUGCCACGAGGGUCCCUCCUGAGUGCCACCAAGGGCUCUGACCCAAGAGUAGACCUGCCUGGGGGUGGGGGGCAGGGUGUGCAGAGAGAAGGCAAGAGGGGAGGAGGCGGGGCCACACGCCCCGACGACACCCCGAGCAGGUCCUGUCCUGGGCACAUUCAUGGGACGGGACAGGACAGGACAGGACAGGACAGGGAAGGGAUGAGGGUACUCUCCGAUGGCCAUUAAGGGAUGGUUGGGAGAGAGUGCCCCCUUGCUCCUGCGAUCCAUGCGGGUCAUUGGCACUUCCACAGGAAAGGAGAAGGAAAAGGAAAAGUACUGGCCAGGGGGCUGCUCCCAGGCGCCUGCCCAAUCCUGCCUUCUAGACAGAGGCACACCCGCGCCAGAAGGCCUGAAAGUCAGGAAGCGCGUGUAAGUAAGGGACGGAAAGCGCAGAGCGAAAAGAAAGCAAAGGUGGAACUGAGGUGGAGCUGAAGCCUGAAGGGCCUGGAGCCUCCUGCCCUUCCAGGGUGAAAGCAAAAGCAAAACAACGCAACUGACACAGACAGUCCGAGGAAGAAGCACAGAAAAGGAAAGGAACCAGCCACCUGGACCCAUGCCGCUCACCAAAUGCACUGGGCAGAAGGACUACUGACCAGGAGGCGGGACCCCCUGCAGGCCUUUCCCCUGCUUUGCUCCAGCCCCAUUUUUCCUAGCUCCAGCUCUGGGAGAGAAGCAAAAGGCCAAGGACACACCCACAGGCCCGGGUGACUCUCUCUGUCCCAGGGAUUAAAUCAGGGGACCUGCCUCGGACAAGGUGGCAGCCACCAUUCGGGUGGCCCAUCGCUCUGCUCUGUCUUGCCAGGGACUUUUUUGGCCGGGCUCUGCUUCCUACCAAGGCCUGGAGCUCACCACCUUGGGCUGGCCCCCCAACAAGGCAGCCAGAAACGGCUGGCCCAACCUGCAGCCACAGGGCUCCCACCCCCCACCCCCACCCCGCCCCGGAGGCUCCCCUGUAAAGGGCUACCCAAAGCCCGAGGUGACACAGGCUGGCCUUGCUCUCACACAGGAACCCUGCAAAGGCCACCAAACCUCGCCAAGGCACAAGGCCCCACCCAGGGCCAGGAUGCUGGAGAGGAAGGGCACAGACUCUGAUGAAUGGGACUCGGGACUCGGAGACCCCCGUUUCUUUCUCUGCCUAAACAAGGGAGGCCCCAAGUUUACACUGUAGCCGGGCGGACCUGCUGACAGACCACCAGCUCAGGAAACACACAAUGGCUCCCUGUCCCUUGCGCAGAGCCCUCCCGGGAAUGCCAAAAGGAAGCAGGGCACGCCUGCAGGAAGCUCCUACUGGCUCAAGUCUGGACUUUAAGUGCUUCCAUAAGGAUAACAACUGCCAGGAAUGGAACUUCAAGAGGUUAUUUUGGCAAGUCUUGAGUUCCCGAUGCUCUUUCAUUGCAAAGCAACUCCUGGACCACGGCUGGUUUUGUUUGUGGUCGGUUUCCUGGUGGUUUCGGAGGCUGAGGAUGAUCUCCACCCCUGGGGAAUUCAGGGGAAGCGUGGACCCUGAACCUCGGUACUCUGUCCCGCUACCCUUGGACGUGCCCCUUCACCAAAGGGCAGCCAUGGCACGAGGACCCUUAGGACACCAGGGACACAGCUAAGAACUGGAAGCGAAAGGAAACGAGGGAAGCAGUAUGUCCUCACCUCCACCACCACUGCCAAGGCACUGCCAAAGUUGUCCUGGACCUAGUGCACGGAGGGGUGCUUCGCUGGGACUUGGCGGGCCUUCCAGGACUGACCAGGAGACACAAGGUGCCUAGAGACCAGGGGACACACCAGCAGGCAGAUCCUUGCCACGAGGGUCCCUCCUGAGUGCCACCAAGGGCUCUGACCCAAGAGUAGACCUGCCUGGGGGUGGGGGGCAGGGUGUGCAGAGAGAAGGCAAGAGGGGAGGAGGCGGGGCCACACGCCCCGACGACACCCCGAGCAGGUCCUGUCCUGGGCACAUUCAUGGGACGGGACAGGACAGGACAGGACAGGACAGGGAAGGGAUGAGGGUACUCUCCGAUGGCCAUUAAGGGAUGGUUGGGAGAGAGUGCCCCCUUGCUCCUGCGAUCCAUGCGGGUCAUUGGCACUUCCACAGGAAAGGAGAAGGAAAAGGAAAAGUACUGGCCAGGGGGCUGCUCCCAGGCGCCUGCCCAAUCCUGCCUUCUAGACAGAGGCACACCCGCGCCAGAAGGCCUGAAAGUCAGGAAGCGCGUGUAAGUAAGGGACGGAAAGCGCAGAGCGAAAAGAAAGCAAAGGUGGAACUGAGGUGGAGCUGAAGCCUGAAGGCCAAAAGGAAGCAGGGCACGCCUGCAGGAAGCUCCUACUGGCUCAAGUCUGGACUUUAAGUGCUUCCAUAAGGAUAACAACUGCCAGGAAUGGAACUUCAAGAGGUUAUUUUGGCAAGUCUUGAGUUCCCGAUGCUCUUUCAUUGCAAAGCAACUCCUGGACCACGGCUGGUUUUGUUUGUGGUCGGUUUCCUGGUGGUUUCGGAGGCUGAGGAUGAUCUCCACCCCUGGGGAAUUCAGGGGAAGCGUGGACCCUGAACCUCGGUACUCUGUCCCGCUACCCUUGGACGUGCCCCUUCACCAAAGGGCAGCCAUGGCACGAGGACCCUUAGGACACCAGGGACACAGCUAAGAACUGGAAGCGAAAGGAAACGAGGGAAGCAGUAUGUCCUCACCUCCACCACCACUGCCAAGGCACUGCCAAAGUUGUCCUGGACCUAGUGCACGGAGGGGUGCUUCGCUGGGACUUGGCGGGCCUUCCAGGACUGACCAGGAGACACAAGGGCCUGGAGCCUCCUGCCCUUCCAGGGUGAAAGCAAAAGCAAAACAACGCAACUGACACAGACAGUCCGAGGAAGAAGCACAGAAAAGGAAAGGAACCAGCCACCUGGACCCAUGCCGCUCACCAAAUGCACUGGGCAGAAGGACUACUGACCAGGAGGCGGGACCCCCUGCAGGCCUUUCCCCUGCUUUGCUCCAGCCCCAUUUUUCCUAGCUCCAGCUCUGGGAGAGAAGCAAAAGGCCAAGGACACACCCACAGGCCCGGGUGACUCUCUCUGUCCCAGGGAUUAAAUCAGGGGACCUGCCUCGGACAAGGUGGCAGCCACCAUUCGGGUGGCCCAUCGCUCUGCUCUGUCUUGCCAGGGACUUUUUUUGGCCGGGCUCUGCUUCCUACCAAGGCCUGGAGCUCACCACCUUGGGCUGGCCCCCCAACAAGGCAGCCAGAAACGGCUGGCCCAACCUGCAGCCACAGGGCUCCCACCCCCCACCCCCACCCCGCCCCGGAGGCUCCCCUGUAAAGGGC